UACGUAGGGUGCAAGCGUUAAUCGGAAUUACUGGGCGUAAAGCGUGCGUAGACGGCUAUCUAAGUCGGGUGUGAAAGCCCCGGGCUCAACCUGGGAAUUGCAUUCGAGACUGAAUAGCUAGGGUACGGUAGAGGGAAGUGGAAUUUCCGGUGUAGCGGUGAAAUGCGUAGAUAUCUGGAGGAACACCGGUGGCGAAGGCGGCAUCCUGGACCGGUAUUGACGCUGAGGCGCGAAAGCCAGGGGAGCAAACGGG
rnacentral:rRNA from 1 species